rnacentral:tRNA from 1 species
GAGGGUAUAGCUCGAGUGGCAGAAAGCAUGCUUAGCAUGCAUGAGACCCUGGGUUCAAUCCCCAGUAUCUCCA